AAGUCGUAACAAGGUUUCCGUAGGUGAACCUGCGGAAGGAUCAUUAUCGAAUUCUUUCAGAGACGGGUUGUUGCUGGCCUUCACGGGCAUGUGCACGCCCCGAUCGAAACAUACACCUGUGCACUCUUUGUAGCGGGGAGGGGGCGACUCCUCUUCCGCUAUGUUUUUACACACCCUUUUAAAACAAGUCUACAGAAUGUAUAUGUCGUGUGCGCCUUAAAAAAGCGAACCGCAAAAAAACUAUAUAA
rnacentral:misc_RNA from 1 species